GGACCCGCACAAGUAGUGGAGCAUGUGGUUUAAUUCGAAGAUACGCGCAGAACCUUACCAACACUUGACAUGUUCGUCGCGACUCUAAGAGAUUAGAGUUUUCGGUUCGGCCGGACGAAACACAGGUGCUGCAUGGCUGUCGUCAGCUCGUGUCGUGAGAUGUUGGGUUAAGUCCCGCAACGAGCGCAACCCUCACUUUUAGUUGCCAUCAUUCAGUUGGGCACUCUGAAAGAACUGCCAGUGAUAAGCUGGAGGAAGGUGGGGAUGACGUCAAGUCCUCAUGGCCCUUACGUGUUGGGCUACACACGUGCUACAAUGGUAUCUACAACAGGAAGCAAGACGGCGACGUUAAGCAAAUCCCUUAAAACCGUUCGUAGUCCGGAUUGGAGUCUGCAACUCGACUCCAUGAAGUCGGAAUCGCUAGUAAUCG
rnacentral:rRNA from 1 species